rnacentral:rRNA from 1 species
GAUGAACGCUGUCUACAGGCUUAACACAUGCAAGUCGAGGGGAAACGACGGGGAAGCUUGCUUCCCCGGGCGUCGACCGGCGCACGGGUGAGUAACGCGUAUCCAACCUGCCUCUGACUGAGGGAUAACCCGUCGAAAGUCGGCCUAAUACCUCAUGGCAUCGUCUGCGGGCAUCCAACGACGAUUAAAGAUUUCAUCGGUCAGGGAUGGGGAUGCGUCUGAUUAGCUUGUUGGCGGUGUAACGGCCCACCAAGGCUACGAUCAGUAGGGGUUCUGAGAGGAAGGUCCCCCACAUUGGAACUGAGACACGGUCCAAACUCCUACGGGAGGCAGCAGUGAGGAAUAUUGGUCAAUGGGCGGGAGCCUGAACCAGCCAAGUAGCGUGCAGGAUGACGGCCCUAUGGGUUGUAAACUGCUUUUAUGCGGGGAUAAAGUGAGGGACGUGUCCUUCAUUGCAGGUACCGCAUGAAUAAGGACCGGCUAAUUCCGUG